rnacentral:lncRNA from 1 species
AGAUGGCUUUUAGAGGAUAGAAAUCCAAUUAUGUAAGGUUGAAUACCUUGUGUUCCGUCCAAGAAGCUUCCCCAGCACCAUACUAGACAUGUCCAUCACUAAUAACUAUUGCAUCCUAUCGAAAAAUUCAAUUGUUGGAAUUCCAUUCAUUGUGGAUUUCGUAAUGUCUCCCUCAAAAAGUUCAAGGUCCUCCUCAAUCCCAUUCCUAUAAUACAUGGAAAAAUUCUUAGAUACAAAGGCUUUUUUUCUCAACAACCUAUCUUUCCAUGAAAACACAGGCUCCGGUGGUAGAUCCACCGCGAUCUCAAUGCCUUCCUCACCUUUCUUUCCUUUG